GAUGAACGCUGGCGGCGUGCCUAAUACAUGCAAGUCGAACGGAGUGCAGCAAUGUACUUAGUGGCGACCGGGUGCGUAACACGUAGCUGACCUGCCCCUCGGCGGGGGAUAACUAGUCGAAAGGCUAGCUAAUACCGCAUGAUAUCAGGAUGAUUGGAAAGUCCUGAUUAAACUUACGGGGUCGAGGGAGGGGGCUGCGGCCCAUCAGGUAGUUGGUGAGGUAAAAGCUCACCAAGCCAAUGACGGGUAGGGGGCCUGAGAGGGUGGUCCCCCACACUGGGACUGACACACGGCCCAGACUCCUACGGGAGGCAGCAGUAAGGGAUAUUGCGCAAUGGGCGAAAGCCUGACGCAGCAACGCCGCGUGGAGGAUGAAGGGUUUCGGCUCGUAAACUCCUUUUACGUGGGACGAGGAAGGACGGUACCGCGUGAAUAAGUCACGGCUAACUACGUGC
rnacentral:rRNA from 1 species